UGCGUGGUGCAGAUGGCAGCGCCAUUUUCAGAGCUAUAAACAGUAUCAUUGUCAUAGCUCUUUGAAUGGUACUGCCAUAUGUACUGGAGAAUC
rnacentral:pre_miRNA from 1 species